CUUUCCCCCACCCCGAGGCCGCUCCCUUUUCGGAAGCUCCGGGUAGAGGACGGUGGGACACCGAAAAUCAAACGCUGAUCUUGCUGCAGGUCCUGAUCUAGCCGGAUCGAGUGGAGGCUGCUUAGCGAGUGCCGCCGAGACAAACGCGCAUUAGUUUACCUCCAUAGUGUAAAAAGCUGAUGAACUUGAGAAAAUGAGGCAUCGUCAGAGGGCUUGGACUUUGGGGAAACUCGAGGAGCCGAAUGGUGACAUUGGGCCUCAGUCCUGCAGGCAGGCACUGCCCUGGAUGGGUUGCAAUACAGGGCCCUGGAAAUCUGUGGCCUGCAGGAAAGAAGCCACAGAUGGGCUGCAAGCAGGAGGCACUUCAGAGCACCCUGAUUACUUGAACUGACUUUCUCUCCACAGCUUCUGUGCUUUACUUAUGUCGUGGAGGACUACAACUUAGUUUCCUCACAUAGUUUUAUUUUAUUAUAAAGGCAAAAAAAGGAGCAAAUCUAAUCCCUACCCCACCUACAUGACUUCUGAAAGGGUAUGAAUGGCACCUCUUUCCCUCCUUUUUCAGAAUCUCCAGUAGCUGAAGGAUAAAUGGGUGCUUUAGUGACAAGAAAAUAAACCCUGGUGCAGCUUGAGUCAUCAUGAUGGGACAUAUAACUGCCAUUCUUUAGAUUCGUAUAGCUACAACGGUUACUAAUGGGUGUCCUCAUUUUUAGCAUUUUGUUCAGCUUAUUAGGCAGAGCAGCUAUAUCAAAACUUAUGUCCCUCCAGAAGAAAAGAACCAACAAACAAAAAAACCCACAUACUUUUUCUAUUUCCAAAAGAAAGCAAAAGGUCAUCUUUCUAAUAGUGGGAAGCUAAAGUGGUUUUAAUAUGAUGUUCUUUAAUAUAUUGUCCUAGACUGAUGUGCUUUAGUUUUCAUCACAUUUUUUGGAAUUGCAAAGAAAGAAAUUUAAAUGCCACUUUAAACAACAGCAGCAAAGUGAAUGCUGUAAUACAAAUACCAUUUUCAAUAUUUUCCAUUUCCUCUGUGCACAAACACAUGGAAAUCAAAGUCUGAAUUAAAGCCACCUGACUGAUAAAUCAGUGCUGCUAUUCAGUUUCUCCUUUGCUUUAACUUAGAUCACAUAAAUAUCUCUAAAAAUAUAUGAACCACAAUAAAAGUUAACACAGCGAGUGCUAGAAAGUCCAUUACUGACUGCCAUCUGCAGAGCUGGUCAUAUCAGCAAACAGGUCAGUGAAAGCUUUCCAUUUCAGAGCUAUGGAUACCAAAUUCUUCCCACCCUAACUGUGCCAGUGAUGUUCCAGAGCCCACCUUCAGCUCACUCCUGCACCCUACACUGCCUCCCCCACAUCACAUGCUCUCUGCCUCUCCACACCACAAUGUUUCUGCUGCCACCAGCAGCCCAGGCUGUUCUGAGACACUUCUUCCACCAGCCAGCUCCUUCCACCUGUUUUGACUGGCCCAGGACCAGGAGCUGGUGGGGUUUGGGAAUGCAGCUGUCAGUGUAGGUCAUGGGGGUGUAGAAAGUGCAUACCACCAGCUGGGGAGGGGAAUUCAGGAGCCAUAGGGAGAGAAAAACUGAUCUUAGUGAACUGGCUGAAGUAAAACGAAUACAAACCCCAAGAGCACUAUAGGAGCAGCGCUGGAGAAGAUGUAAAUCUUACAUGCUGCUGACAGCUGCUUACAUCUGGUGAGUAGGAAGAGGUUGGAGAAAGAAAUGU